rnacentral:misc_RNA from 1 species
CAACCCUCAAGCCCCGCUUGGUGUUGGGCCCCGCCCCCCGGUCCCGGGGGGCGGGCCCGAAAGGCAGCGGCGGCACCGCGUCCGGUCCUCGAGCGUAUGGGGCUUUGUCACCCGCUCCGUAGGCCCGGCCGGCGCCCGCCGGCGACCCCCAAUCAAUCUAUCCA